CGCGGCCAAAACAAUCACUAUAAUUGCGCUCAGUUCACUGCUGAAGCUUGGUUCUUUGAAUCCCAUGGCCAAUAAUCCUUCCCAGCUCCUUCCAUCAGAGCUAAUAGACAGGUGCAUAGGGUCGAAAAUCUGGGUGAUAAUGAAAGGAGACAAGGAGCUUGUUGGUACUCUCAGAGGCUUCGAUGUCUAUGUCAACAUGGUCCUCGAAGACGUCACUGAAUAGUAUGUUAUUCUUCUUCGUCUGGGGUUUUUCUCUUUCAAUUAGGGUUUAAGUAAAUAUAUUAGCUAUCGAUAAUUUAAUUUUUGGUGUUUAAUUUUUAAAUGUAUUUUUAGAUAUGCUAUAUUUUUCUUUGAAUUGAAGCAAAUAUCUUCUUGUAAAUUUGCAAUUGGAGUUUCUUAGGGGGCUCAACUCUGGCAUGAAGGAACUGAUGCUUGCUUUACUUAGGGAACUGUUUGUUCUUCAGGUUAUGGCGCUAGUACUAGAAUGCUUGUGGUAGAGCAGUUGUUGGAAUGGAAAUUUUAGCUCAAAACUUUCACAAAAUAGAAGCAAAACAUGCUGUUUUGUUUUCUUGUGAUACUUUUUGAUAAAGAUUAAAACGAGUAUCAGUCUGAAUUACAUUCUUGAUUUCUUUAUUUAUGAUACUGAUUAGGUUCUGUAAUGAGUUUUAUGAUUGUGUUACUUUUAGCUGGUUACUGAUUAGGUGCUUCUCUCCCUUUUAAAGAGAAAAGCUUCAAAUUCAACCUAAAAGUGUGUAGAUUAUGGCAUCCAAGGGCUGAUACUGAUACCUAGCUUGUUAUGGCCAUCAAUAAACAAUGCAUUAAUUUGGACAUGUUUGUUAACUGGGGUUUUAGGGCCCACUAAGCUUAGCUAUGGAGCUCAUACCAAAAGAUUGACUGUAUCAAUUUAUUUAAUUCUGUUAGUUUUCGGUUUACACUACAGUCUUCUCUUGUCUGCAUAUGCGUUGAGGAAUGUUUGGGGAGAUGGCUAGAUGGAAGAAGAGAUUCAUACUUCUCUAAGAUUUUGAAGUUUUUAGUUUUAUGUCCCGCUAUACAGUCUGGAAAAUGCAGGACUGAAAUUCAAAUAUUUAAAUACAAUGUAACUGCCAAAUAAAGCAUUGAUUGGCAAUGACAUGAGACUGAAUAGUUUGAGCGCAUUAGGAAUGCAGUGUGUAAGACUUAUAUAUAGCUCUUUUGUCAUUCUUUGAAGGAUUUUGAUCUUGUAUAGAUAGUGAGGGUGUUAUGGUUGGGAAGACUGAAAGUUGGGGAAAAGAGGUUGGGUUUGUAAUGGGGAUUGAUUUUAUUUAAUCAAGCCAUAUUUGUCAAAUCAAGAAUCAAAAUCUUCAUUUUGUGAAUUGAGAAUUGAAUCAAAACAUACAAUCCAAUACAAAUUAUCAAAAUAAACUAAAAAUGGUAUUAUAUAUCAAAAUGUAAAACAAGCAUGACAAAUCACAAUCUGAAAUAUUGAAUACUUUUUAUUAGUCUACACUGGUCCAUUAUAAUAAUAUAAAAAAAUAAUAAAGAUAAACUACAGUUAAAAAGGACUAGAAUUUCGUAACACCUACAACAAGAUAUUGUAAAAAAAAAUAAACAAAUUAAUACUCAACAAACGGGUAGCUGUUGCAGACUUGCAGUGGUGCAGUAAACACAUAGCUGUCACUCAAUGAAGGGAAAAGAGGAAAGAGAUGGAAGAGGUACAGCAAAGGAAUUUGGGUUAAACUUGCUUGUUUUGAGUCACAGUUCUGAAGCCAACUCUAUUGGAACUCAAAAUUGAAGCUUAAGGGCAGAAAUAAGGUAGAGAAAGAAUGCAUGCUUGAAUCUGUUUGAUGCUUAUAGGUAAGCAAAAAGUGUUAAUUUCAUUGAUUCUUGAGGGAGGCUUUGUUGGGAUAUUUCAACAAGAAACAGGAGGAAAAAGGGUGUGAGUUUUUAAAUUAGUCAGGUCCUACUGGAUCUGGAUGGACCCAAUAGGAAAGGAAUUGAUGGAUCAAUCAAGCUAUAUGCAAAUGAACCUCACAAUUCAGGGUCAAUCAACUCAAAUCAGCAAGGGGGGGAAUAAUAACAGUGUUGAUGCCAUCUUCAAUAGAAUAACUACAAUAACCAUAUUGGUGCCUGAGAAUUGUAUGGCUUUGGUUAUUCACUCCACCCACCCAACUAAGAAUAGUAAUCCCCACUCCUAUCAGUAUGCAACUGAAAGCACAGAAAUUUAUAAGAAAAAUUUGCUCAAGGCCUCACCUAUGCUCAAGAAGUUACUGUGGAGUAUUGAGACCAGAAUACCAGAACUCUCUUCUCCUUCAUCCUUUUGCCGUGAAUUUUCAGAUGAUGAACUGACUUCAUGAAGACAUGAAAACUCCUGAUAACCACCAUUACAAGAUACAAUUUCAAACCAUAUCCCAGAGGGAAAUCUUCUCUGCCUUGCCAACCUAAGGAAAAUUUUAAUAUAAGGUGUACCAUGGAUCACUGAUAUAACAACUUCAAUCAACACACGAAUGAAGGUGAUGGCUGUGUUCAAAAUGGUGAAGAAAAUGUAGAAAGCAGAAGUUGUUGGUAACAAUAGUAAAAGUGGUGUAAACAGAAGGGAUCCAACAACAUGCUGCUUUACGGUGUAGUUAUAGCUAUCUAAUCUCUGACGAAGAGGAUUCCACUUUCGACCCCUGAAAAGACGCCACAGAGCAGCUAAUGUCUGAAUCUGCCAUGAAUACAAGAGUGAGAUUGCACAGUGAAGUGAUGACACAUGCAACGUUGCCAAUGCAACCAUGUCUAUGACCAAAGCAGCAAGAAUAGUAGCCCCAAAAAGAAUUCCCAAUAGAGCAAGUCCUUUGAUGAAAUAAAUUAAAAGGAAACCAAUAAAGAUCCAGAGGGUAGACCAAAUUUGUAUUGCAUUAAGAGAAAUCAAGCCAAGAACUCCUGCCAGCUCUGUAUUCAACUUGAAACCAGCUGGUACUCCCAUCAACCACACACAACCUGAACGUAACAAUUCAUUCGUAAUGUCAUUGGCAAAGGUUGAAACCCAUAAGCAAGCAGAGUCAGCAUUAGAUAACAGCAGCAGGCCAAUCAAGUUUCCAAAAAGCAGAUCAACAAAAAUACUUGACCACAUAGAAUGCCUAAGUAAUGCAGCUUUCUCUGCAUAUUCCACGCAUGACUGGAACCUAAUUAAAAUUCAAAAAUAAAAGAAUAAGAAUGCCAAGAAGAAAUUAGUACCUCUGAGAAAAACUCAAGAAAGCAGAAGAAAAGCAAAAAAAAUAGCCCCAAAUGGGGAAAAAAUGAUGAAAAAGCCUCAAUCAGUUAAGUUUCUAGCUCCCCCAUGCAAGUCAAGCAGGAAAUGGAUAUGCAAUCAGCAGAUAAAACCAAGGCUUGACUUCUCAAUUUGAAUUGAAGGGUACAGAAAACUCCAAAAAAUUUUGUUCAUUUGUUUUUCUCAUUAAAUAGAAAGCUCUAUUAAAAUUAUACUAAACAAGAUAAUAGAAUAUUCCAAUUUCAGAAAAAUGUAGGCCUUUUUAAAUUGAAGAACUUGAUAUAUGAAUAAAGAAUUCUCCAGUCACCUAAGGCCAUUGUGUUGAAGAAAAAUAGGCCAAUAUAAGAUCUGACAAACACGGAUUCGGAUAUUUGUCCACGUAGUGCAGAAUGUCCUUGCUAAUGUGAUAUACAUAAUUGUUUUUGAUCCAAAACUUGAAAACCUAUAGAAUAACUGAAUAGUGAUAUAGAACAGAGUGGAAAUUGAUGCCACAGAAAUAGCCAAUACAUGCCACAUGAAAGCGAGACACCUGAAAAGCCACAAGAAAGGGCGUCAAGAAUUUAAGAGAAAGGCACGAUGAGGGUAAACAACAAAGUUUAAUUGACAAUACACAUGGAUGAUGGUAAAACCGGUAUAAGAUCCCUUAGGGUUCACGUGUUUCUCAAUCACAGUUUUAGCAGCAGCAGCACUGUUGAUUGCCAAAAUUACUGUAUCCAAGUCAAAUAGAGGCUGGCUCCUGUCAAGUUCGUCAGCCCACUUGGGUUUCUUUGGCAGAACUUUCGCUUGCUCAGAAGGAAUCCAAGAACUUAGUGAGAAAUGAUGCAUACCAUACAAGGGAGUUUCAUAAACUAUCACGUGGACAUUGAAUUGAGGUACUAUUUGCCCAUUCCAGUGAAUGUGAUGCAAUUUGGGAAGCCAACGAAUAUCUCUACCAUAUUGAUCACAUGAAUCAUAUACCAGCUGGAUCCAGCGGCUACCUUCUGCAGAAGCUUCCCAACUUUGUUCAACUAAUUCAUCAAGUUGAUGGCACGUGCAGCUCCUUCCUCCAUAAUUUUCUAUGAAUACAUCCUGCCUGUUUGUUGUUGAUAAAAUGCUAUUGUUGGAGGGCUUUCUCCAAUCAUCUUCUUCCAGUCCAACCUUCAAUACUUUUCCAUUACCAGAGAGGUAUGCAGCACCACGACCUAGCACAGAAAACAUUGAUUUUUCCUCUAGAAAUACAGGCAUGUUCUCAUUUGUGUCACGAAGGAUCUCCUUGAGACUAGAUUUACGGGGGAAAAGCGACACGUCAUUGCAAGCGAAAGCUACCACGAUAUCAAUAGAAGCUGAAGAGCAAGAAACGAACCAACCAAACAAGAAAUGACUAGAAGACGGUUCACUUGAAGCAAGGUACUUUGGCCACCAAAUCCUACACUUCCUUCUCAUUUUUCUUUAUCUAUUGGUUAGAUUCAACUCAUCAAUUCCAGUAGAUUCCUAGCAAAUGACCUCGAAAUAAUCCUCCUUAAUCAUAUUUAUGGCAUUACAGAACCGAAAUUGCUUCUGCAGUCACAAUUCAGAUUCGAACAAUUUGUUCACAACAAAACCCUAGCUCCAUAAGAGAUACAGAAAUUGAAACUUAGAAAGCAAAAUUUACAAAGAAAAUCAUGAACAAAUAAUUUAUAGCUAAGAGAAGUUAA
rnacentral:misc_RNA from 1 species